CUCGGUCUCCUUGGCCUCCCGCUCCUGCGACGCCGCCUUUCUUUUCUCUUGUUCCCGGGCUCGGACCUCGGCGGGGGGGCCCGCCCGCCAGUUGGUUGCCUCCUGCAGCACCCUGGAGGCCCAGGGUCGGCGGGGUGGCGGCUCAGGGGAUCCCGGGCGCAGCCUACACCUGGGACAAUGAGCAGGAACCCAGGGCUUCUUCUCUCCACCCGUGAGCACCAGAGCCUGUAAGAUGUCAGACAGCGAAACGAUGCCCUUGACCACGUCGUGUUCAUCCACCACCACCAGACGGUGAACCUGGCCCAGAGGAACAGCAAGUAACGUCAGUGCCAGCUCCAGUUCGGGUAAGGCGGAGACUCGGUGCUGUACAAAGAUGCCCAGAGCCACGUAGACAGGCGUGGUAGUACGGACCAUGGCAAUAUUGGCAUAGGUGCCAAUCUGCAGCUCUUGGAGAGACUUAGACAUGAAUUCCGGCUUGGGGAACUCGGUGAUCUGAGGAAGGGGGCAUUGGCUUGCAGGUGCUUUCCGGAUAGAGCAGGAGGUGCUACGCUCAAUCAUCAACACCAACACCGCUCCUCUGUCCCCAAACCGCUCUGUGUGUGUCUGCAGUUCAGCACGUAAUCGGAUGAUGGCCUGAGGUUACUUACAAACAACUUGAGGAACUUGAGGAUCCGCUUGUGAGUAAGGAUGUACAAGGUGUUGCCUGACUCUGGGUCGAUAACUGGGAGCCUGUGGAUCUUAUUUCGAAUUAAUGAAGAGACAGCAUCAAACAAGCUGCGAAAAAGUAGAAGAUCAUAGUUAGGUUCCACGGGGCUAACGCCAGGCUGUACAACCCCUUGGAAUGUGUUUACAGUCAGAAAAAACCCACAGUCAGCGCUGUGUGUGGCUGGGCAUGAACUGGUAACUCCUGCACUGGGGCAAACAGAAGAGUCUAAGUUCACGACAGCCUCAACUCUACAGUAAGAGCAAGGCCAGUCUCGGCUGUGUGAGACUUUUUUUUUUUUCUCAAACACACACAGCAUGGCAGUGUGCAUGAGGAGGGGUCCUUCUUCUCUCCUCUCUCAUGCCCCUGAGGUAAACACAAACACACACAGCAUGGCAGUGUGCAUGAGGAGGGGUCCUUCUUCUCUCCUCUCUCAUGCCCCUGAGGUAAACACAAACACACACAGCAUGGCAGUGUGCAUGAGGAGGGGUCCUUCUUCUCUCCUCUCUCAUGCCCCUGAGGUAAACACAAACACACACAGCAUGGCAGUGUGCAUGAGGAGGGUCUUUCUUCUCUCCUCUCUCAUGCCCCUGAGAUAAACACAAAACCAGUACUUACCUGGCAUUUGGAGAGAUGCAGACAAGUGGCUUAAAGGAGUCCUGCAGGUACACCUCUGAAGAGAACAAAACACUGCCACGUGAGUGUCGCCCAGGACACCUCCAUCCCUCAUCUGCCACCCCCACCCAUACCUCUCCACGUCUCUAUCUUGUGCUCCUCCAGUUCGUAGAUCUGCACCUAGAAGCAGAAGCAGCAGCUCUGAACCUCAUGCUCCCCUCGUCAUUAACUCACGGAGCUUUGCUCGCAGGGGAAAACCAGGCACAAUGGACCCCAGGCAGGGCCGUGGUUUUGGCUGGGAGACUCAGGCUCCUUACCAGGGCUGACUUAUAGUAUCGGUGCAAAAUGUUGAUGAAGUCGGUGAUGGUCAGCAUGCCUAGACAAGAGCCAAGAAGAGGGCCUCAGCUCAGCCUGUCCGAGGCUUUUCCCCUCGCCCGGCAACACAUGCCAGUAACCGUAUCCCAGAAACUCCUGCUUACCCACAAAACUCUGCUUCUUACUGUCCCACAAAGGGGCGGCACGAACACCAUUGGUCACCAGGGCAAAAAAGGCUUUCUUUACCUAUGGCCAAGAGAGUAACCUCCUAAGGAGAUCCAUAGAGGGCACAGCUUCGAGGAAGAGCAGGGUUGGUGUGUGGGGAAAUAUGACGAAUGCUGACAGGCCUUGGACCAGCGCAGGAGGAAGGGCUCUACCCACCUGUAGCGAAGUGUCAAAUACCACCAACUUGGAACUUGUGGGAAUUAGGUCAUAGCAGCGAUGAGACUUCAUGAAGGAAGUAUACACACUAUUGUUUGAUUCCGGGGUCUCUGCACAGAGUGAAAAAGUUGGUGUGUUUCUUUUAUGUAAGAAGUCACCAUCAGAAGAGACAGAAACCAAAAAUGGCUUUUGUUUUGUUCUU
rnacentral:lncRNA from 1 species